UCUACCUAAUUACAUCCUUAUACUUAAGCCAUUCGUAAUAACCUUCCUUCCAUGGCCCCCUAAAGGAUUGAAAUAAAGUAUAUGCAGAAAAGGACGUAUGGCUGGGUUGAAAGCAUGGGUUUGAGGACUUGGUCCUCUUCAUCUGGUUUGAUUAGUAAUAUGCAAGUGAAGUGAACUCUAGUGUAUCUUCAUGGAGGUAAGACCAUAGCACUUUUAAACUUUUACCACAGUUGGGUUCUUUUUGAGCUCAUUAAUGUCAUAGGUGACCAGAAAACGAGAGCAAACUCAGCCUCUUUCAAACAUACAUCUCUUUUCUUCUUUUCGGUUUAAUGGGUGGGUGAUCUUUGUUGUGUACUGUCUUAGUGUCUUACUUGCAUAUUCGCAGGCUGUCAAUUGUAAGAAUAUUGCUAGUUUUCUUAAUGAAUACCUUCAAAUUGUUUCAGUAAAAAGACUUGUACUUCUAAAGCUUGCGUCUUUUUAUCCUCUAUCCUUUGACAUCGAUCAAAGUCUGAGUGGCUGAGUUCUGAAUCAUACCUUAAGUUUCUAAUAUGGGUGAUACUUUCAUAUACUAGAUGCCAGCACCCAAGUGAGAACUGGUUAUGUUUGUGCUGUAAGGAAGUCCUCUGCAGCCGUUUUGUAAACAAGCAUAUGCUGCAGCAUUAUCAGCAGAUAAAUCAUUGUGUUGCUCUUAGCUACAGGCAGUGAUCCUGUUGUGAUUGUAAAUUAUUGAUGAAGCAAGAUGAGCUAGAAGUUGAAAGAAAGUUGAGAAAGCUUUGGCUGAUCUUUGUUUUUUAACAACCUUUGGUUGGUCUUAGAAUUGUGAUUGUUGGUUGGUUAUAGAUGAUGGGUUUCAUAAUAUUUUUCAAUUUAUGAUAUUUGCUGCA